GGGGAAUCUUGCACAAUGGGGGAAACCCUGAUGCAGCGACGCCGCGUGAACGAUGAAGCCCUUCGGGGUGUAAAGUUCUUUCGACAGGAACGAUAAUGACGGUACCUGGAGAAGAAGCUGCGGCUAACUACGUGCCAGCAGCCGCGGUAAUACGUAGGCAGCGAGCGUUGUUCGGAGUUACUGGGCGUAAAGAGUGCGUAGGCGGCGAGCCAAGUUUGGUGUGAAAUCUCCCGGCUUAACCGGGAGGGUGCGCCGAAAACUGGUUGGCUGGAGUAUGGGAGAGGAAAGCGGAAUUCCUGGUGUAGCGGUGAAAUGCGUAGAUACCAGGAGGAACACCUGCGGUGUAGACAGCUUUCUGGACCAAAACUGACGCUGAGGCACGAAAGCGUGGGUAGCAAACA
rnacentral:rRNA from 1 species